GUGGGGAAUAUUGGACAAUGGGCGCAAGCCUGAUCCAGCCAUGCCGCGUGAGUGAUGAAGGCCCUAGGGUUGUAAAGCUCUUUCAACGGUGAAGAUAAUGACGGUAGCCGUAGAAGAAGCCCCGGCUAACUUCGUGCCAGCAGCCGCGGUAAUACGAAGGGGGCUAGCGUUGUUCGGAAUUACUGGGCGUAAAGCGCACGUAGGCGGAUUGAUCAGUUGGGGGUGAAAUCCCAGGGCUUAACCCUGGAACUGCCUUCAAUACUGUCUGUCUAGAGGUCGAGAGAGGUGAGUGGAAUUCCGAGUGUAGAGGUGAAAUUCGUAGAUAUUCGGAGGAACACCAGUGGCGAAGGCGGCUCACUGGCUCGAUACUGACGCUGAGGUGCGAAAGCGUGGGGAGCAAACAGGAUUAGAAACCCGAGUAGUCC
rnacentral:rRNA from 1 species